GCCCAUCAGCUAGUUGGUAGGGUAACGGCCUACCAAGGCGAAGACGGGUAGGGGGCGUGAGAGCGUGACCCCCCACACUGGCACUGGGACACGGGCCAGACUCCUACGGGAGGCAGCAGUGAGGAAUAUUGCGCAAUGAGCGAAAGCUAGACGCAGCAACGCCGCGUGGGUGAUGAAGGCCUUCGGGUCGUAAAACCCUUUUCUGGGGGAAGAGUAAGGACGGUACCCCAGGAAUAAGCCUCGGCUAACUAUGUGCCAGCAGCCGCGGUAAUACAUAGGAGGCAAGCGUUAUCCGGAUUUACUGGGCGUAAAGAGCGUUGAGGCGGCUUCGUAAGUUGGACGUGAAAGCUCCCGGCUUAACUGGGAGAGGCCGUUCAAUACUGCGGGGCUUGAGGACAGCAGAGGGGGGUGGAAUUUCCGGUGUAGUGGUGAAAUGCGUAGAUAUCGGAAGGAACACCAGUGGCGAAGGCGGCCCCCUGGGCUGCUCCUGACGCUGAAGGCGAAAGCUAGGGUAGCGAACGGGAUUAGAAACCCCGGUAGUCCUAGCCGUAAACGAUGGAUACUAGGUGUAGGAGGUUAAAACCCCUUCUGUGCCGGAGCUAACGCGUUAAGUAUCCCGCCUGGGGAGUACGGUCGCAAGGCUAAAACUCAAAGGAAUUGACGGGGGCCCGCACAAGCAGCGGAGCGUGUGGUUUAAUUCGAUGCAACGCGAAGAACCUUACCAGGGCUUGACAUGUAGGUAGUAGUGAAGCGAAAGCGGAACGAUCCUUCGGGAAGCCUACACAGGUGCUGCAUGGCUGUCGUCAGCUCGUGCCGUGAGGUGUUAGGUUAAGUCCUGUAACGAGCGCAACCCCUGCCGUUAGUUACAAGUGUCUAACGGGACUGCCCGGCAAAACUGGGAGGAAGGUGGGGAUGACGUCAAGUCAGCAUGGCCUUUAUGUCCUGGGCUACACACACGCUACAAUGGCCGGUACAAUGGGUUGCCAAGCCGCGAGGC
rnacentral:rRNA from 1 species